GGCGGAGCAAGCUAUCGUGGAGCGCCGGGAGGAACUAUGCCGAUAUGGGGGCGAGGUGGAUGAGUGUGUCGGCUGGGCGAUGGAGGAGGUGGUCCUUGCCUGCAAGGUCCGGUUGACCCAUUGCUACCUCUUGAGCUUGCGUUGGUUUUCCCUUGAAGAGGAAAGUGUGAUGUACUGAAGUAGAUAAGUAUUUCCCUUAGUUUGCUGAGAACCAAUGUAUCAAUCCAGUAGGAGGAACAAGCAAGGCCCCAAUCAUAGUACCUGCACAAACAAUCAAACACUUGCACCCAACGCUAUAAAGAGGUUGUCAAUCCCUUCAGAGUUAUUUGCAAGGAUGAUAUAUGAUAGAGAUAAAUAUAAAAU
rnacentral:lncRNA from 1 species